rnacentral:rRNA from 1 species
AACGCUAGCUACAGGCUUAACACAUGCAAGUCGAGGGGCAGCAUCAUCAAAGCUUGCUUUGAUGGAUGGCGACCGGCGCACGGGUGAGUAACACGUAUCCAACCUGCCGACAACACUGGGAUAGCCUUUCGAAAGAAAGAUUAAUACCGGAUGGCAUAGUUUUCCCGCAUGGGGUAAUUAUUAAAGAAUUUCGGUUGUCGAUGGGGAUGCGUUCCAUUAGGCAGUUGGCGGGGUAACGGCCCACCAAACCUACGAUGGAUAGGGGUUCUGAGAGGAAGGUCCCCCACAUUGGAACUGAGACACGGUCCAAACUCCUACGGGAGGCAGCAGUGAGGAAUAUUGGUCAAUGGACGAGAGUCUGAACCAGCCAAGUAGCGUGAAGGAUGACUGCCCUAUGGGUUGUAAACUUCUUUUAUACGGGAAUAAAGUGAGCCACGUGUGGCUUUUUGUAUGUACCGUAUGAAUAAGGAUCGGCUAACUCCGUGCCAGCAGCCGCGGUAAUACGGAGGAUCCGAGCGUUAUCCGGAUUUAUUGGGUUUAAAGGGAGCGUAGGCGGGUUGUUAAGUCAGUUGUGAAAGUUUGCGGCUCAACCGUAAAAUUGCAGUUGAUACUGGCGACCUUGAGUGCAACAGAGGUAGGCGGAAUUCGUGGUGUAGCGGUGAAAUGCUUAGAUAUCACGAAGAACUCCGAUUG